UCCCUGGCGGUCUAGUGCUUAAGACUCUGCAUUUCCAGUACAGGGACACAGGUUCAAUCCCUGGUCAGGGAA
rnacentral:tRNA from 1 species